GAAUGAAGAGCUCCGGCUGCUGAUCUCCUCAGGUCACAUGAUCCGGGCCGAUGAAGAGCUGCAGGCGAUCACCUGCAUCCUCGAUCAAAGAGGAAGUGCGGCCCCAGAGUUAUGGAGGACCAGUGACAGCAGAUCCAGCUCGGUAACGCGGUCCCCCGCUCUUCUCUGCCUCCCCUCGACAUCGUCGUCGUCUGCCGGAGGAGCCCGCGCGUCGUCCAGCCCUCAAUUCUUUAGCUUCUUCGCUCCCAGAGCGUCCAAAGGAGGCCCAAUGGACCAGACUUAUUCUAAACAUGCAGGACAUUUUCAGUUUGAUCAAGAAGGACUCGAACAUGGUGACCCAGCAGGACAGUUUCACACUGAAUCAGCACAACAGCUUUAUAAUCUUCUGUGAUGAGGACGUACCACUACCACGUUUUGGUGGCAUACACGCUGAGGCUUGUGGGACGUCCAAAGGGGAUACUGGUUGGCAUAACAACAUGUUAAGUGACGGCCCCAACACCAACGACUCUAACGGGAAUCAACACGAAGCGGUGAACAGAGACCAUUUUAACAACCUUAAAAGCCUGAAAUCCUGUCGAAUCUACGGCGCUCCGGGGGUUUUGUCUCAGAGGGACUUUAAUAAGAGGAGGAGCGUGACCUUUGAUGAUGAUGUCAUCGUCUACCUGUUCGAUCAGGGGAGUCCCACCAUGGAGCUGCACAGUGAGGCCUGCUCAUCUCCGCCAGAUGUCACUUUAGAAGACAGUGGCUUGGAGUGGGAAGACGACUUCUCAGCUUUGGAGAAGAACUGCCAUUUUCAGUGUGUCAGACACUCUCCGCAGCGCAGCCUUUCCCUGCCAACACGAAGCACCGCUGCUCUGUCCCGCCGCUUCUUUCUCUCCCAAACCUGUCUGUUCCUCACCCAUGUCACCGAGUCAGACCUUGAGCUGUGAGAUAAAAGGUUAUUCACACACACAUAUUGAGUUGUAGGUGCUGAUUUCUAUGACACGGUGGUGGUCAAAUGGAGCCUUUUCGUGUGCCGUCAGCCAAAGGCCAGCUCACUGUCACCAUGGCCUAAUGUGACAUCCACACUUGUUUUUCUUUCAGACAGCCAGCCUUGGCCUAAUGGAAAAAGUGACUAAUCGUCCUCUUCACCUUCUCCCUCCUCUUUUAUGAUGAGUCAGGGGAUUUUAAUGGCUUUUUUUUCUCUCUCGGCUCCAAAUGGAUUCAAAGCACCUGGCGUUCAUGACAUCACAGCCACGCAGGACUGUGUGACGGUGCAUUCAGCUUUCACAGUUGUUAGUAUGACAAGAUCACAGGCUGUGAUGUGAGAAAAGAACACAUAACGUAGCAGUGCUGGUACUUUUCCAGCUGCAGACGUCUUUGAAAGCUGUGUUCAAUCAAUUUAAUUUAAUAAAUUGUGACUGAAAUCUCAUUUGAAUUGUUGUAUUUCAACAAAUUCCAGGUUAAUCUGGGAAUACAAGGAGUAUACGUUGUUUAUUUAUAUAGUUUGUUUUUGUUAAACAGAGCAUGCUUGUGGAGGCCCUGUUUGCUUGCCUCAUUACUAAAGUGUAUUCAGCUCAGAAUUUAUCAGCGGCUGUGGCUGAAUAAACAGUGUAAGCCUUAGGGCCAAUGGAGCCAGAAACUGAACAAACUAAAAGUAACAGAUAGUGUUUCCACAGAGCCAGCAUCAGCAAGGUUUGGUUGAUUAGAUACAGUGUACCUGAGGAGGAAACAGUGAACCUGGCAGGACCAGGUUUUUAUUAUUCACACACACACACACACACACACACACACACACACACACACACACACACACACACACACACACACACACACAGUUCAAGGACACCAACAGUGUUUGGCUCAACGAGCUGGGAGCGUCACACCUGCAUUAUUGUUGUGGUUACAUGUUUGUGAUAUUCUCCCAUAAUUUAGCUAAAAGUCAAAUUAUAAUGUUGUUCUUUGAAUUUAAACCACAUACUGCUCGGUAAUGUCCUAUUUUUAACUGUAGGCUACCAUGAAGUUUGUUUUUGUUGUCCAAAUGUGCUAUUACAGGUUUUCCUUCAAGCUAACGUGCCACUUAGCUUUAACAUUGUUGCAUUAAAGAGGAAAGCAUUUUUUAUUAUUUGGGAAUACUUUCUUUUUUGGAAGAAACUGAGCAACAAAAAAUAUGAAUUCUUUAACAUGUUUCUCUAAUAAAUGCAUUAAAUAUUUUGCUUACUGCUGCUUCACUGUUGCUACAUUUUUCUUGUUAAGCAGCGCAUGCUAGCUGCUAGCUGCUAGCUGCUAGCUCACUUGUGCCUUUCCUC
rnacentral:lncRNA from 1 species